rnacentral:rRNA from 1 species
GUCUACAGGCAUAUCACCCUGAAGGUGCCUGAUCUCGUCUGAUCUCGGAAGCUAAGCAGGGUCGGGCCUGGUUAGUACUUGGAUGGGAGAACACUCAGUGAGAAAACAGUUUCCUUGCCA